UUUGUUUUUAGAUAUUCUAUAAUCUUACAUAAUUAAAAAUGAAACUAUCGUCGUGUCAAGAAAUUAGCAAUUUAAGGGGUGGCAUCUUGGUAGUUAUUCGUUUUUUUUAUUAUUCUUACAACUUAGGCCAGCAGAUAGCGCUAGAUUUAUUUUAUUCUGCCCUUUACACAUAUUUCGUAAAUAUUGAAUAAAGUAAACACACAAACAUAUGAUUUUAAGUUUUCUUAUAAAAUUGCAAAAUCUUACACCAGUUAAUACAGUUUUAUAUUAAUUGUAUGUAUAAAAUACAUUUUUAAAUUAAAUAAACUUCAUUGCUUCGAAGGUCAACUAGCCGUAUUUUCAAAAUACACUUGUGCAUUUCUUUCUUUAUUGUUCAAGACAAGAAUUAUAUAAACAAUUACAAUGUCGACAAUAAUUGAAGAUGAGCAAAUGAAUAAUCAGCGGAUGUUGCCUCGGAUUGUUCUGAUAGCCUGUGGCUCCUUUAGUCCACCGACGCCAAUGCACUUUCGUAUGUUUGAAAUUGCACGUGAUUAUUUCAAAACACAAGGAACACAUCACGUUAUUGGCGGUAUCGUUUCACCCACACACGAUUCCUAUCAGAAGAAAGGACUCGUUGCUGGUACACAUCGAUUUGCUAUGUUGAAAUUAGCGCUGCAAUCCUCAACAUGGAUAAAACCCUCAGACUGGGAAAUACUACAAUCGGAAUGGUCACGCACUAUCUCCGUUCUACAGUACCAUCAAAACUAUAUGAAUAACUAUAUUAACUCACCACUGGAAAGUGACAUGAACGGCACUCUACCUGGUUGGCUGCCUCCCGGUUUGCGUGAGCGGCAGGAUAGUGUGCAAUUGAAAUUGCUGUGUGGAGCUGAUUUACUAGAAUCAUUUGCAGUGCCUGGAUUAUGGGCAGAUAAGGAUAUUGAAGAUAUUGUUGGCAGUCAUGGUUUGGUGGUAAUUUCACGUUACGGCGCUAAUCCUGAAAAAUUCAUUUUCGAGUCAGAUAUGUUGACAAAAUAUCAGAAACAUAUUACGUUAAUAACGAAUUGGGUACCGAACGAAGUUAGUUCAACAAUGAUCCGACGUCUUAUUUCGCGCGAUCAGUCUGUGAAAUACUUGCUCGACGACAGGGUCAUUGACUAUAUUCAAAUGCAAGGACUAUUUAACUGUAAAACGUGACAUAAUUCAUCCGUAAAUAUUGCUCUUUCUAACAACCUAACUCCGCCUCAUAAAAAUCCAAGUUUAAAAAGCAGUUUCAUACGAUUAAAAAUUGCAGAAACAAUCCGACAACCUGUCACAAUUAAGUGGAAACUAUUAAUGGAGAUAAGUAUAUGAUUGGACUAAACCGUUUAACCACAUAUCCACAAAAAUAUAAUAACUUUUAUUUAAACCGUGUUAAUACUAAUCCCAGCUCAUCCGUCAAUAAUUCGCCAUCUGAUGACGAAGAUGACGCCAAUGAGCCGGAAAAAGCUGUGCAUAUGGAUCAGAGCGAUUAUUCAAUAAAAAAUUUUCUGAAUAGUUUUAAUUUAGAUAAUCGUAAGCCAUCAAGCAUGAAUGUUUUUUGUUGUGGUGACAAUGAGAAUAUUGCCUCUGCCAAGAAGUUGUUACCAAGUCGUAAUGGGCCAGGACAAGUUGUGCAGGUGGUGACGUCCGAGAAGGGUACAAAAGUUGCAACGGAGAUCCAGCACGCUGGCAGUCGCUGGGAUGAGUCCGAUGCCAAAAAGAAAAAGACAGAUGCUGUGAAUGUAUAAACUCAUUAGUGGAGAGUUCCUAAUAGCGCCUAGAAAACAUAUGAAUGUUGAUGCAACCAAACAUGGCUGUAAAAAGGAUGUUGUAAAUUUAGAGUGCUUGCUGAAAGUGAAAAAUAUUCAAAUAAUUUAUACUUGCUUACGCUUAACUGAAACGAAACUUUUAAUAUGUGUAUGUGUUACGUUUGUCUGGAAACUUUUGUUGUUACUAAUGCAGAUUGGUGUGGUAAAACAUAUAAAUAUUAAUAUUAUUAGUGCAAAGCAGAAUGAUAUUUUAGCAUUUUGUGAGUUUCAAAACGCUUAUUUUCCUAGGCAUAAAAUAGUUUAUAUUUUAAUGUGCACAGCAUAUCACAAUACCGAAAAUUUAUUUCUAUUUCGAGCUAAACUCAAUAAAAUAAUGUUUGUAUAAAUAUA